rnacentral:tRNA from 1 species
GCCUGGGUGGCUCAGUCAGUAAAGCAUGUGACUUUUGAUCUGGUUGUAAGUUCAAGUCCCACCUUGGGUA